rnacentral:rRNA from 1 species
CAAUAGCGUAUAUUAAAGCUGUUGCGGUUAAAAAGCUCGUAGUUGGAUUUCUGUCAAGGACAACUGGUCCGCCCUCCGGGUGAGCACAUAGUUUGGUCUUGGCAUCUUGCUAGAAACUGUUGCUGCACUUGGUUGUGUGGCGCAGCAUCCAGCACUUUCACUUUGAGGAAAUUGGAGUGUUUCAAGCAGGCACAUGCCUUUGGACACAGUAGCAUGGAAUAAUUAGAUUGGGCUUUUGCUCCAAUUUGUCGGUUUCUGGAGCUGAGGUGAGAAUUAAUGGGGAUUGUUGGGGGCAUCCGAAUUUAGCCGUCAGAGGUGAAAUUCUUGGAUCUGCUAAAGACGGACAACUGCGAAANCGNNNGCCCAGGAUGUUUUCAUNGA